AGAGUUUGAUCCUGGCUCAGAACGAACGCUGGCGGCAGGCUUAACACAUGCAAGUCGAACGGGUGUAGCAAUACAUCAGUGGCAGACGGGUGAGUAACACGUGGGAACCUUCCUAGGGGUACGGAACAACUCAGGGAAACUUGAGCUAAUACCGUAUACGUCCGUGAGGAGAAAGAUUUAUCGCCCUUAGACGGGCCCGCGUCGGAUUAGCUAGUUGGUGGGGUAACGGCCUACCAAGGCGACGAUCCGUAGCUGAUCUGAGAGGAUGAUCAGCCACACUGGGACUGAGACACGGCCCAGACUCCUACGGGAGGCAGCAGUGGGGAAUCUUGGACAAUGGGCGCAAGCCUGAUCCAGCCAUGCCGCGUGAGUGAAGAAGGCCUUCGGGUUGUAAAGCUCUUUUGUUCAGGGACGAUAAUGACGGUACCUGAAGAAUU
rnacentral:rRNA from 1 species